rnacentral:rRNA from 1 species
AUUGAACGCUGGCGGCAGGCCUAACACAUGCAAGUCGAACGAGUGGCGGACGGGUGAGUAAGGUCCGGGAAACUGCCUGAUGGAGGGGGAUAACUACUGGAAACGGUAGCUAAUACCGAAUACCACAAGAUGUGCUCAGAUGGGAUUAGCUAGUUGGUGGGGUAAAGGCUCACCAAGGCGACGAGCCGUAACUGGUCUGAGAGGAUGAUCAGUCACACUGGAACUGGGAGACGGUCCAGACUCCUACGGGAGGCAGGAGUGGGGAAGAUUGGACAAUGGGCGAAAGCCUGAGCCAGCCAUGCGGGGUGUGUGAAGAAGGCCUUCGGGUUGGAAAGUUCUUUCAGCGGGGAGGCGUUACCCGCAGAAGAAGCACCGGCUAACUCCGUGCCAGCAGCCGCGGUAAUA